rnacentral:lncRNA from 1 species
CAGAAAGCAGCUCUCACCAGACAUCAAAUCUGCCAGCACAUUGAUCUUGGACUACCCACCCUUCAGAACUACUGUCUGCGAGGGAUAAGCCUGAGGUGUCAACAUCUUCACAGGUCUUUUGAGCCUGCAUGCACAAAAGGGUCUACUGUCCCUGGCUACAUGACUGGAGCCUCAGCUCUUCACUGACUGUCCUCAGGUUCCAGGGGCCACCUGCAGUUCCUUGCCACAUGGAUUUCUCCAGCAUAGCUGUGUACUUCAUCAAGGCACAAGGAGAGUCUCCAGUCUACCAGAGCCCUAUGUAAUGUAACAUAAUCAACAAAGUGACGUCCCAUUCAUAUUCAAUUGGUCAGAAGCAAGUUACAGUCCCCACCCAGGUCAGAGGGAGGAGAUAUGACAAAGAAGUAAACAUCAGGAGGCUGGGACAAUGGGGAUACUUAAGGUCCAUCCUGCUACAACUUCCACAAUGGUGUCUUGACCACGAGGGUUCCACAGACACUGAAGCGGUCACCCAGGCUGCAAGUCUUGGUGGCAUUCUCUAGGAAUCACAGUCCCAUUCUUCUGCAAGCAAACGGAGUUGCCCUAUGACCCAGUAAGUUUACUCUUAGGUACAUUCCCUAGAGAAAUAAAAAUAUAUGUCCGUGCAAAAACAUGUAUGUGAGUGUUCGUAGCAGUGUUAUUCAUAAUAGCCAAAAGGUGGAAACAAGCCAAAUGUUUGUCAACUGAUGAAUGGAGAAAUAAAAUGUGGUAUAACCAUACAAUGGAACAUUAAACAGGAAUAAAAGAAAUGGAAUGCUGAGACAUGCAACAACAUGGAUGAACCUCAAGUACAUUAUGCUAAAAGAAAGAAGCCGGUCACAAAGGACCGCAGCUUGCAUGAUUCCAUUUAUACAGAAUGUCCAGAAUAGGCAGAUCUACAGACUGGAAGUAGAACAAGGAUUGCCAAGGGCUGUGGGAAGGGAAAAGUGGGGAACAAUGCUAAUGGGUAAGAGCUUUCUUUAUGGGAUAAUAAAAUGUUCCAAAUUUAGAUUGUGGUGAUAGUUGCACAAUUCUGUGAAAAUACUAACAAUUUUUAAUGGGUGACUAUUAUGGCAUGUGAAUUAUAUCUCAGUAAAUUUUUUUUAUUAAAAAACAAAAAAGACCCACAA